UGUCAGAUUUUUUUUUUUUUUUUUUUUGAGAGAUAGAUAGCACUCUACCCGUUUUAUUUAUUUUAUUUAGAAAAUAAAAUAAACUUAGCUGGAAAUAUGAAUCGACUAGGAUUCAAGCUUGGGACCUCGGGUACAAAUCGUCAAAUCUUUUGCCACUUGCUCUAGGGACGGUCGGUCUGACCGGCAAAUAUUGCAACUAAGUUAAGAACGACUAGUAAGUAAAAUUAACUUGACCUGUUAUUUUU
rnacentral:lncRNA from 1 species